rnacentral:snoRNA from 1 species
AUGCGGAGAGGAUGAAGCUUUUUUCCUUUGGAUAGCUAGUUUCGACAAUGCUGCUCCAAAAUCACCAUCUUUCGGCUGAUUCGCAU